rnacentral:rRNA from 1 species
AAAUUGAAGAGUUUGAUCAUGGCUCAGAUUGAACGCUGGCGGCAGGCCUAACACAUGCAAGUCGAACGGUAACAGGAAGCAGCUUGCUGCUUGCUGACGAGUGGCGGACGGGUGAGUAAUGUCUGGGAAACUGCCUGAUGGAGGGGGAUAACUACUGGAAACGGUGGCUAAUACCGCAUAACGUCGCAAGACCAAAGAGGGGGACCUUCGGGCCUCUUGCCAUCAGAUGUGCCCAGAUGGGAUUAGCUUGUUGGUGAGGUAACGGCUCACCAAGGCGACGAUCCCUAGCUGGUCUGAGAGGAUGACCAGCCACACUGGAACUGAGACACGGUCCAGACUCCUACGGGAGGCAGCAGUGGGGAAUAUUGCACAAUGGGCGCAAGCCUGAUGCAGCCAUGCCGCGUGUAUGAAGAAGGCCUUCGGGUUGUAAAGUACUUUCAGCGGGGAGGAAGGUGUUGUGGUUAAUAACCACAGCAAUUGACGUUACCCGCAGAAGAAGCACCGGCUAACUCCGUGCCAGCAGCCGCGGUAAUACGGAGGGUGCAAGCGUUAAUCGGAAUUACUGGGCGUAAAGCGCACGCAGGCGGUCUGUCAAGUCGGAUGUGAAAUCCCCGGGCUCAACCUGGGAACUGCAUUCGAAACUGGCAGGCUUGAGUCUUGUAGAGGGGGGUAGAAUUCCAGGUGUAGCGGUGAAAUGCGUAGAGAUCUGGAGGAAUACCGGUGGCGAAGGCGGCCCCCUGGACAAAGACUGACGCUCAGGUGCGAAAGCGUGGGGAGCAAACAGGAUUAGAUACCCUGGUAGUCCACGCCGUAAACGAUGUCUACUUGGAGGUUGUGCCCUUGAGGCGUGGCUUCCGGAGCUAACGCGUUAAGUAGACCGCCUGGGGAGUACGGCCGCAAGGUUAAAACUCAAAUGAAUUGACGGGGGCCCGCACAAGCGGUGGAGCAUGUGGUUUAAUUCGAUGCAACGCGAAGAACCUUACCUGGUCUUGACAUCCACAGAACUUUUCCAGAGAUGGAUUGGUGCCUUCGGGAACUGUGAGACAGGUGCUGCAUGGCUGUCGUCAGCUCGUGUUGUGAAAUGUUGGGUUAAGUCCCGCAACGAGCGCAACCCUUAUCCUUUGUUGCCAGCGAUUAGGUCGGGAACUCAAAGGAGACUGCCAGUGAUAAACUGGAGGAAGGUGGGGAUGACGUCAAGUCAUCAUGGCCCUUACGACCAGGGCUACACACGUGCUACAAUGGCGCAUACAAAGAGAAGCGACCUCGCGAGAGCAAGCGGACCUCAUAAAGUGCGUCGUAGUCCGGAUUGGAGUCUGCAACUCGACUCCAUGAAGUCGGAAUCGCUAGUAAUCGUGGAUCAGAAUGCCACGGUGAAUACGUUCCCGGGCCUUGUACACACCGCCCGUCACACCAUGGGAGUGGGUUGCAAAAGAAGUAGGUAGCUUAACCUUCGGGAGGGCGCUUACCACUUUGUGAUUCAUGACUGGGGUGAAGUCGUAACAAGGUAACCGUAGGGGAACCUGCGGUUGGAUCACCUCCUUACCUUAAA